GACGAACGCUGGCGGCGUGCUUAACACAUGCAAGUCGAGCGGUAAGGCCCUUUCGGGGGUACACGAGCGGCGAACGGGUGAGUAACACGUGGGUGACCUGCCCUCCACUCUGGGAUAAGCCCGGGAAACUGGGUCUAAUACCGGAUAGGACCACUGAUCGCAUGGUUGGUGGUGGAAAGUUUUUUCGGUGGGGGAUGGGCCCGCGGCCUAUCAGCUUGUUGGUGGGGUGAUGGCCUACCAAGGCGGUGACGGGUAGCCGGCCUGAGAGGGCGACCGGCCACACUGGGACUGAGACACGGCCCAGACUCCUACGGGAGGCAGCAGUGGGGAAUAUUGCGCAAUGGGCGGAGGCCUGACGCAGCGACGCCGCGUGGGGGAUGACGGCCUUCGGGUUGUAAACCUCUUUCGCCAGGGACGAAGAGCAAUUGACGGUACCUGGAGAAGAAGCACCGGCCAACUACGUGCCAGCCGCCGCCGUAACAC
rnacentral:rRNA from 1 species